rnacentral:lncRNA from 1 species
AUGUCCAGGAGGAAGGUCAGCUCAGCUAAGUGUCGGUGAAGGGAGACCCCGAAGAAGAGAUCUGCAAGGUGGUCAGCUAAACCUGCUCCUUCAAAGCGAAACAAAGCCCAAAAAGGCAGCAGGAAAGGAUAAAUCUUCAGACAAAACAAAACAAAACAAAAAAACAAAUGAAAGCAGAAAAAGGAGGAAAAGAAAAACAGGCUGAAGUGGCUGAUCAAGAAACUAAAGAUUUAUCUGCAGAAAAUGGAGACACUGAAAACAAGGAGAGUCCAGCCUCGGAUGAAGCCACAGAGAAAGACACUAAGUCUGACUGA